rnacentral:rRNA from 1 species
AUUGAACGCUAGCGGGAGGCUUUACACAUGCAAGUCGAACGAGUGGCGGACGGGUGAGUAAUAUAUCGGAAUGUGCCCAGUGGCGGGGGAUAACUACUCGAAAGAGUGGCUAAUACCGCAUACCAUCGGAGGCGCCCAUAUCGGAUUAGCUAGUGGGUGGGGUAAAGGCUCACCUAGGCAACGAGCCGUAGCUGGUUUGAGAGGACGAACAGCCACACUGGGAAUGGUAAACGGGCCAGAGUCCUACGGGAGGCAGAAGUGGGGAAUAUUGGACAAUGGGGGAAACCCUGAUCCAGCCAUGCCGCGUGUGUGAGAAGGCCUUCUGGUUGUAAAGUACUUUUGGCAGGGAAGCGUUAUCGGCAGAAUAAGCACCGGCUAACUACGUGCCAGCAGCCGCGGUAAUAC